rnacentral:precursor_RNA from 9 species
UGAAGAAGAUGAAGAAAGCUGGCACCAGAUCGUCAGUGUUCAAUUGUUGAUAUGUGCCUGAACUUAUAUCAGCAGUUGUACCACUGAUGUUUUGUUACUAGCCUACCAAACUCAAGGAAAC